rnacentral:lncRNA from 1 species
AUAUUUGAAGAGUUCAAACCAUAAUAGAUGUACCUUUUGCAAUAGUCAAAUCGUUUGAAUGUUGAUAUUAUUUUAUUGUGGAUAAAAUAUGUAUUCAUGUAACUAUUGAGAUCGUUCAUAAUUUGAAUUUGAAAUUUUGUAUUAGAUACAUCGGGAAUCUAUAAUAUGUUACAUGAUUCUAUUGUUAUUUUUUAAUUGUUAUUAGUUCAUU